rnacentral:rRNA from 1 species
UGGGGAAUUUUGGACAAUGGGGGAAACCCUGAUCCAGCCAUCCCGCGUGUGCGAUGAAGGCCUUCGGGUUGUAAAGCACUUUUGGCAGGAAAGAAACGUCAUGGGUUAAUACCCCGUGAAACUGACGGUACCUGCAGAAUAAGCACCGGCUAACUACGUGCCAGCAGCCGCGGUAAUACGUAGGGUGCAAGCGUUAAUCGGAAUUACUGGGCGUAAAGCGUGCGCAGGCGGUUCGGAAAGAAAGAUGUGAAAUCCCAGAGCUCAACUUUAGAACUGCAUUUUUAACUACCGGGCUAGAGUGUGUCAGAGGAAGGUGGAAUUCCGCGUGUAGCAGUGAAAUGCGUAGAUAUGCGGAGGAACACCGAUGGCGAAGGCAGCCUCCUGGGAUAACACUGACGCUCAUGCACGAAAGCGUGGGGAGCAAACAGG